UAGAUAAAUAUUUAUAGUUUUAUAAAUUUAUUUAUAAUUUAUUUUACAUAUAAAUUUUAGUAUUAAUUUUUAAUUAUUUUAAUAAUAAUUAUAAUUAUUUUAAUAGUAAUUAAAAUUAAAAAUUUAAGAAAUUAAGAUUUAGUAAUAUUAAAAUUAUUAACAAAUUUUGUGCCAGCAGUUGCGGUUAUACAAAAAUUAAAAUAAAUUUUUUUAGUUUUAAUAAAAAAUAUAAUUUAAAAUUAAAUAUUAAAUUAUUAGGUGAAAUUUUAAUUUAAUUAAAAUUUAAUGUUAAUUUUUGAUUUAAUAAAUUUAAAAAUAGACUAGGAUUAGAUACCCUAUUAUUAAAAAAUUUAAUUUAUAAUACUAAAAUAUUAAAUAAUUAAUUAUUGAAACUUAAAUAAUUUGGCGGUAUUUUAGUUCAUUUAGAGGAACUUGUUUAAUAAUUGAUAAUCCACGAAUAAAUUUACUUAAUUUAUUAUUUUGUAUAUCGUUGUUAAAAAAAUAUUUUUUAAUAAUAAUAAUAUUUUAAAUUUAAAAAUAAAAAUUAAUUCAGAUCAAGAUGCAGAUUAUAAUUAAGAAUAUAAUGAGUUACAAUAAAUUUAUUUAAUAUGGAUUUUAUUUUGUAAUAAAUAAUAGAAGGUGGAUUUAAAUGUAAUUUUAUAUAUUUAUAUAAAAUGAUUAUAAAUUAAAAUAUGUACAUAUUGCCCGUCGCUUUCAUUUUAAAAUUGGAAUAAGUCGUAACAAAGUAGAAGUACUGGAAAGUGUUUCUAGUAACAA
rnacentral:rRNA from 1 species